UGAGUACGAGAUGCUACGGCAUCGAAGCAGUCUAUGUCAUACUUCCAAGAAAAGCUUGCACUGUCAGAAACAGAUAAUGCCUGUACCACAACCGACACAGGUGGGUAGGUAGAGUAUACUAAGGGGCGCGAGAUAACUCUCUCUAAGGAACUCGGCAAAAUGACUCCGUAACUUCGGGAGAAGGAGUGCCUUAUUUUUAAGGUUGCAAUAACAAGAUCCAAGCAACUGUUUACCAAAAACACAGGUCUCCGCUAAGUCGUAAGACGAUGUAUGGGGGCUGACGCCUGCCCAGUGCCAGAAGGUUAAAGAAGUCGGUUAGCAUUCGCGAAGCUGGUAACUGAAGCCCUGGUGAACGGCGGCCGUAACAAUAACGGUCCUAAGGUAGCGAAAUUCCUUGUCGGGUAAGUUCCGUCCCGCACGAAAGGCGUAAUGAUUUGGAUACUGUCUCGGAGAGGGGCUCGGUGAAAUAGACUUGUCUGUGAAGAUGCGGACUACCUGCACCUGGACAGAAAGACCCUAUGAAGCUUUACUGUAACUUGAAAUUGAAAUUGGACUUUAUUUGCGCAGUAUAGGUGGGAGGCGUUGAAAAUAUUCUUGCGGGAAUAUUGGAGCCAUCAGUGAGAUACCACUCUUGUAAUGUUAGAUUUCUAACUUUAUAUCAUUAUCUGGUUAAAGAACAGUUUCAGGCGGGCAGUUUGACUGGGGCGGUCGCCUCCCAAAUGGUAACGGAGGCGCACAAAGGUUUCCUCUGAACGGGUAGAAAUCGUAUCUAGAGUGUAAAGGCAUAAGGAAGCUUGACUGUGAGACCUACAAGUCGAGCAGGGACGAAAGUCGGUCUUAGUGAUCUGACGGUGCUGAGUGGAAAGGCCGUCACUCAACGGAUAAAAGUUACUCUAAGGAUAACAGGCUGAUCUCCCCCAAGAGUUCACAUCGACGGGGAGGUUUGGCACCUCGAUGUCGGCUCAUCGCAUCCUGGGGCUGUAGUACGUCCCAAGGGUUGGGCUGUUCGCCCAUGAAAGCGGUACGCGAGCUGGGUUCAGAACGUCGUGAGACAGUUCGGUCCAUAUCCGGUGUAGGCGUUAGAAUAUUGAGAGGAGCCUUCUUUAGUACGAGAGGACCGAGAAGGACAUACCUCUGGUGUACCAGUUAUCGUGCCAACGGUAAACGCUGGGUAGCUAUGUAUGGAGUGGAUAACCGCUGAAAGCAUCUAAGUGGGAAGCCCACCUCAAGAUAAGUAUUCUCA
rnacentral:rRNA from 1 species